UUUACUUUUACCAUGACCCGGAAGCAAAAUAGGAGAAUAUAGUGCCUUGUUUAAAUGGGCUGUUCUGUCUGUGCUAAUUUUCUCAGGGUGAUUUGUGGUAGCUUAAAUGAAAGGUGAGACAUUGUACUUUAUUGCAAAUUUUUUUUGGUCCACAAUCUGCACAUGGUAUUGGCACCAGCCUUCCAUGAUUUGACCCCAAGUUCAAGGUUGUUUAGUGUGUUUCCGGCUCGAAACCUCCGGUGACCAUAGUUGACAGUGGAUACAGCAAAAUUGAGGUGGUCGACCCAGGCCGAUAUUUUGCUGGUUAAGUGACAAGUGGCAGCCGAGGAACAUAGAGCGCUGCCACCAGCUGUUUGUUACACCUCCUCGACACACAACUGAGUACCGGGCACACCUGGAGCAGUCGCCGCUGUAGCACUUCAGGGUAGCUUCGAGCACUCGAGGUCAAGCUUGCUGGCUGAAGUAGGACGCAGAAGCAUCACUGAAGUAGAUAUACC